rnacentral:rRNA from 1 species
UAAAGGGUAUGUAGGCGGUCUAUUAAGUUAGAUGUGAAAAAUCUGGGCUCAACCGAGAUCUUGCGUCUAAUACUGAUAGGCUAGAGUCUCUGAGAGGAAGGCGGAAUUCCUGGUGUAGGGGUGAAAUCUAUAGAUAUCAGGAAGAACACCGGUUGCGAAGGCGGCCUUCUGGCAGAGGACUGACGCUGAGGUACGAAAGUUAGGGUAGCAAACAGGAUUAGAGACCCUGGUAGUCCUAACCGUAAACGUUGUAUACUAGGUGGUUGAAGUAUUGAUCCUUUGACUGCCGCAGCAAACGCAUUAAGUAUACCGCCUGGGGAGUAUGCCGGCAACGGUGAAACUCAAAGGAAUUGACGGGGCCCCGCACAAGCGGUGGAGCAUGUUGCUUAAUUCGAUGAUACGCGAGUAACCUUACCAGGUCUUGACAUAUACCUGUCUGGUGUAGAAAUACAUCAUUGCUUCGGCACGGGUAUACAGGUGCUGCAUGGUUGUCGUCAGCUCGUGCCGUGAGGUGUUGGGUUAAGUCCCGCAACGAGCGCAACCCUUAUUCUUUGUUGCUAACAGGUUAAGCUGAGCACUCUAAGGAGACUGCCGGUGACAAACCGGAGGAAGGUGGGGACGACGUCAAAUCAUCACGGCCCUUAUGACCUGGGCUGCAAACGUGCUACAAUGGGUGGUACAAAGAGUUGCGAGACCGCGAGGUGGAGCUAAUCUCAAAAAACUAUCCUCAGUUCGGAUUGGAGUCUGAAACCCGACUCUAUGAAGU